rnacentral:tRNA from 1 species
GCCUUCGUAGCUCAGCGGACAGAGCGUGGGUGUCCUACACCACGGGUCGGCGGUUCGAAUCCGUCCGAGGGCAC